UGGAAGAGUAGACUAGCUUUUAAACUGAAUGUUUUUCAAAGUCUCUUCCAUAAGAUGGCAGUAGCUUCUUUAGUGAACAGGCCUGGUGGGCUGAUGUGAAUUAGUGUGUGAAGACCUGCUGGUAAGCUUAAAAAAAUCAGACAUCUAGUUUUUUCUGGGUUUCAUUUCCCAGUGCCUGGUACAGGUCCCAUAUGACUUCAGUGGUGUGGACUAGUCAGUCUGAUGUUAACCCCAUUCCUGGGUCUUGAUGUUGAAGUAAAUGAGCCAGACCCAGAAAGUGUGAAUGGUGUCCAUGUAUGUUCUAGGAAAGAGCUGAACUCCAGUGUCUGGCUUCCAGUCUUCAUUGUAAUCCCAACAGAGAAUUUAAGUACUGGAGGCCAAGCACAGUGUGCUGAUAUGGCAGCUGAGG